rnacentral:lncRNA from 1 species
GCCACCUGCACUGGGAAGGCCUUGGGCUAACAGGGUUAGCAGCGUGUGGGUGGAAAAAGAGCAGCCUUGCCUUCCAUGUGAGGCUCACGCAAGCCUUGUAUCAGAUUUCUUGUCUCCUACAGCCCUCUCUGAUGAUGGAUGCACAGAGCUGAGGGCACCUGCAUGUCACCUGGGUGUGUUAGGAGUAUGCCUAUGGGAUGGGGACUUGCUGGAUGAGGUGAGGAGGGCACAGCCAGCUGAAGGAUCCGCUCUGGGGCUUUAACCUUGAGACAGGGCUUGGAGGAGCUCAAGGGCUGGAGGUUGCAUCAGAGGCAGCUUUGCAUAUGCCCUGGGCAGCCUCUGAGGCAUCCGAGAAGUUGGGUGACAGUGGCGUGACACCCUUAAGAGAGCUUUAGCAAUGAAUUCAGACUUCUAAAGAAAUGAAGUGGGUGGAUCUAUGCUUUCAAGCCUCUGUUCUCCGUGAAUAGAAGCCACUCCUACCUUUUGCACUGAAGUGCUGCAAAGAUGAAUAAGCAUUAAGGCGCUCUUAUUCCUGGCUAACGAGGCCCACGGGGGCAGAGAAGCAAACUGAAGUGUUCUUGACUGGAGGAGCUGCAGCAGGAUCCCGUGGGGAGAGGCCAGCAAGCUUCACUCCAUCACGGAGAAGGGGUCAUGGGAAGGACAAAGAAUGGGGACCUUGCUGCAGGCCAUUUCUGAGGACUAAACACCUUCAUCUAGAUGCUGGCACCGCCGUGAUCCUAAGUACCAACCUUCCCCGUGGGCUGCAGGCAGCCCCCGUGGCGCAGCAACGUCACGCUCACCGCGCUGCCGUACUUCCAUUACACGUCUGUAAGUGAAAUCAAACCUGGGGGAUUUCUUCCUACUGCUCUAGCCCUGCAGCCACACCGCAGAAUACAAAUGCCGGGCUGACGCACGCGCUUGGCGCUCGGCUCGCUGCCCCAGGGACCGUCAGCGGGCUGCAAGCCUUGAAGGGCUGGAGGCUCGUUAACACCAGGCUUUAAAUAACUGUGGUGCUGGGGGAGCGGGUGCUGUG